GAACCAUAAAGGUUAGAAAUUUGUAGUAACACAACAAUUGUCUGCUAAUGAAGUGGCUGUGGAGAUAUAGUAGCAGCUUAUGAGAAACUUUGUUUUGUGCCUCAUACAACUGAGGCUAGUUGAGUAAGCCUGCUUCUUGUUUCACAAAUUAGUUGACCCAUAUCUUACAUCUUUGGGUCCACCAAUUUGUGAAACAGAAAGAAGAUCACACAACUGUAAUAUCAGAUAAAUAUGGGGAAAAAAAAAAUUCAGUUUCCAGGCCCAGAUAACAUUUCCCUGGACUAGGUUUAAGGAAGCAUAUCUGCAUCUUAUGGUCUACUUUUGCCAUCAACUCGAAGAUCAAGUUUGGAAUGAAAGACAGUUUUGACAAGAUGCUUGGUUAGGACUCUCAGCAGUGGAAGAGACAACCGUACUUGCUGGCCCUGGAAGAUGCUGUGGAAGUCAAAGCACCCUACAAAAUCAGUUCCUUUUUGUGGCUAGUGGCACUAGAUGCAUGACUGACUCAAGAUGAUCUUCAGAGAUAGGUAUGACAAUUUGCAGCAGGCGUUUUAUGUGUAACAGGGAAGAGAAGAAUAGCAGCCAAGUGCCAGCUCGUCUGUGCGGGGUAUUAUGGAAA